GGCACUUCUGUCGCUUCGGCCAGAAGUCGUCAAAUUUCAGGGGGGAGUAUCACAAACUCUCCCGACACUUCUGUCGCUUUGGCCAGAAGUCGUCAAAUUUCAAGGGAAGAGUAUCAAAAACUCUCCCAACACUUCUGUCGCUUCGGCCAGAAGUCAUCACACUGUGGGAGGGAGUAUCACAAGCUCUCUCCAUCCUUAAGGUUCCAAGUUUCAAGGCAACCUUGGAGUGUCAAGUAUUUGUGAUUGGUCGUUUACCGACAAUCACAUAAAUCGAAAAACACUCGUCACAAAAGUUGCGCAUCACCAAAGCACAACCUUCGAGGGGUAGUAUCACAAGCUCUCCCGGUACUUCUGUCGCUUCGGCCAGAAGUCGUC
rnacentral:lncRNA from 1 species